UAUUUAUAGUUAUGUUCUUAAAACUUAAAGAAUUUGGCGGUAUUAUAAUCUAUUUAGAGGAAUUUGUUAAGUAAUCGAUAAUCCACGUUGAAUCUUACUUAUAUAAAUUCUUGUAUAUCGCUGUUUAAGAAAAUAUUUUUAGAUAAAUUUUCUUAAUAAAUUAAUAUUUAAUAUUUCAAGUCAAGGUGCAGUUAUAUAUAAGUUGAAUAAUGAAUUACAAUAAAUUUUAUUUAAUAUGAAUGGUUUAUGGAAUAAAAGCUUGAAGGUGGAUUUAAUUGUAAAUUUAUGAAGAUUAAUAAAUUGAUUAUAGCUCUAUAGUAUGUACACAUCGC
rnacentral:rRNA from 1 species